rnacentral:rRNA from 1 species
GGGGGAUAUUGCACAAUGGAGGAAACUCUGAUGCAGCAAUGCCGCGUGAGGGAAGACGGUCUUCGGAUUGUAAACCUCUGUCCUUGGUGAAGAUAAUGACGGUAGCCAAGGAGGAAGCUCCGGCUAACUACGUGCCAGCGGACGCGGUAAUACGUAGGGAGCAAGCGUUGUCCGGAUUUACUGGGUGUAAAGGGUGCGUAGGCGGCUUUUUAAGUCGGGCGUGAAAGCUGUGGGCUUAACCCACAAAUUGCGUUCGAAACUGGAGGGCUUGAGUGAAGUAGAGGUAGGCGGAAUUCCCGGUGUAGCGGUGAAAUGCGUAGAGAUCGGGAGGAACACCAGUGGCGAAGGCGGCCUACUGGGCUUUAACUGACGCUGAGGCACGAAAGCAUGGGUAGCAAAC